GACGAACGCUGGCGGCGUGCUUAACACAUGCAAGUCGAACGAAGUGGCGAACGGGUGAGUAACGUGUAAUCAACCUGCUCUUCAGGGGGGGACAACAGUUGGAAACGACUGCUAAUACCGCAUACUGAAGGAGGGGUUUGCGUCUGAUUAGCUCGUGGGGGGGGUAACGGCCCAACAAGGCGAUGAUCAGUAGCCGGGCUGAGAGGAUGAACGGCCAAAAUGGGACUGGGGAACGGCCCAGACUCCUACGGGAGGCAGCAGUGGGGCAUCUUCCGCAAUGGACGAAAGUCUGACGGAGCAACGCCGCGUGGGUGAUGACGGCCUUCGGGUUGUAAAGCUCUGUUAAUCGGGACGCGGUACCGGAAUAGAAAGCCACGGCUAACUACGUGCCAGCAGCCGCGGUAAUUC
rnacentral:rRNA from 1 species